AAACCAACAGGGAUUGCCCUAGUAACGGCGAGUGAAGCGGCAACAGCUCAAAUUUGAAAUCUGGCUUCGGCCCGAGUUGUAAUUUGCAGAGGAUGCUUCUGGCGCGGUGCCUUCCGAGUUCCCUGGAACGGGACGCCACAGAGGGUGAGAGCCCCGUAUGGUCGGACACCAAGCCUGUGUGAAGCUCCUUCGACGAGUCGAGUAGUUUGGGAAUGCUGCUCUAAAUGGGAGGUAAAUCUCUUCUAAAGCUAAAUACCGGCCAGAGACCGAUAGCGCACAAGUAGAGUGAUCGAAAGAUGAAAAGCACCUUGAAAAGGGGGUUAAAUAGUACGUGAAAUUGUUGAAAGGGAAGCACUUAUGACCAGACUUGGGCCGGGCGGCUCAUCAGGGGUUCUCCCCUGUGCACUCCGCCCGGCACAGGCCAGCAUCGGUUCUCGUGGGGGGAUAAGACCGUCAGGAACGUAGCACCCUCCGGGGUGUGUUAUAGCCUGGCGGACGAUACCCCCGUGGGGACCGAGGUNCCGCGCUCCGCAAGGAUGCUGGCGUAAUGGUCAUCAGUGAC
rnacentral:rRNA from 1 species